rnacentral:miRNA from 1 species
UGCGGGAAUUAAGAGCAAAUAGAGUACAAAUUACUGAUAAAGCAGCUUUAUCAGUAAUUUGUACUCUAUUUGCUCUUAAUUCUCGCAGCAAUCCAUAC